UACGGAGGGGGCGAGCGUUAUUCGGAAUCAUUGGGCGUAAAGGGCGCGUAGGCGGCCCCGUAAGUCUUGGGUGAAAGCCCUCGGCUCAACCGAGGAAUUGCCUUGGAUACUGCGGGGCUCGAGGCUGGAAGAGGGCAGUGGAAUUCCCGGUGUAGCGGUGAAAUGCGUAGAUAUCAGGAGGAACACCGAUGGCGAAGACAGGUCUCUGGGCUGACACUGACGCUCAUGCACGAAAGCGUGGGGAGCAAACAGG
rnacentral:rRNA from 1 species